AUUGAACGCUAGCGGCAGGCCUAAUACAUGCAAGUCGAACGGUGUCUUCGGAAAUAGUGGCGCACGGGUGCGUAACACGUAUGCAACCUACCUAACACUGGGGGAUAGACUUUCGAAAGGGAGAAUAAUACCGCAAAAGACAGUAGCUGGGCAUACAGCAGCUGUGAAAGAUUUAUCGAUGUUAGCUGGGCAUGCGUCCAAUUAGCUUGUUGGUGAGGUAACGGUUCACCAAGGCAAUGAUUUGUAGGGUAACUGAGAGGUCAACUCCCCCACACUGGCACUGAGAUACGGGCCAGACUCCUACGGGAGGCAGCAGUAGGGAAUAUUGGGCAAUGGACGCACGUCUGACCCAGCCAUGCCGCGUGCAGGAUGAAGGCGUUAUGCGUUGUAAACUGCUUUUAUACAGAAAGAAACGACUCUUGCGAGAGGCAUUGACCGUACUGUAUGAAUAAGCACCGGCUAACUCCGUGCCAGCCGCCGCGGUAAGAC
rnacentral:rRNA from 1 species